AUGUCAGCAGCCCAUCUCCCCAGAGCUGGAGAUGCAGAGAGCAUGUUCUCAACAACCUGGACCACCCACAACAGCGUCCUUGACCAAAGCAGCCCCUCCCAUCUGCUAAUUGGGGCUUGGAAAGGAGGCCAGAGGAAGAAAGACCAAUGCAGGUCUGGACCCAGGAAACCCAAACUGGUCUCUCGCCCUGGCUUGAACCUGGUUUUCUUCAUCUGUCAAACGAGCCUACCAAGUCCUUCCUCCGGGGACACGGAGAUGAAGAGGACAAGAAACAAGAGCUCAGUCAGUCAGUUGCGGAGAAUCAGAGCAGCCGGGAAGGAAAUAGGCAUUUUCUGAGGGGCGGUUCUGGGAGCCUGGCAGACAUCUCAAGUCCCACCUGGAGGCACCGAGUUCACGCUCCCCACUGACCUUCAGAGUGGCCACCCUGAGGCCAGGCCUGGGAGACGACUCAAGGACAGAGCCCAUCACCUGUGAGGAGACACAUAAGAGGGGAAGAUGGUCUCACACAUGCAGACAGAGGAUUAAUCAAUCAAUCCAGAAAUGAGGCCAGGAUUUAUGGCCAAGUCCUCUCUACCCACCUGGAAAAUCUUCCGUAUUUUGCAAUUCGGCCUGUCCUCAGAGCCUUCCAGAGGGAACCAGAAACAAGUUCAGUCCUGAGCAGCAUGGCCACAGUUUACACACAGCAAGAUCCACCUUCACAAGACCAGGUAGCUGCUGGGACAGCCACUCCGAGCCCUGCAGGUGACUGAGGGAGGCCCCAAAGGGCAAUGGGAAAGAAUUACAACAAAAAGUUCAAAUCCAAGUUGCACAGCUUAGAAGCUAAAGCCUCAGGUUGCUCACCUUCGAGAAGGUGUUGUCAGUUUGACAUGAGGCAAGCUCAGGAGUGCCCACCAGGGUCGCCUCCCACCCCCAACCCCCAUCUUAGGAACUACAGACUCAAAUCCUGGUGCUGAGCUUCCCAAGGAAGCUCAAUGGGCCCCGUCAAAGGGCUUGGCAAACCACUUAGGCGUUUCCAGGAAAAAAGGGAGCCCAGCUUGAGGCCAUGGAAAGCACGGUCCCCAAUGUUGAGUCAGCCUUGAGUCAUGAGCUAAAAACACGCUUUUGCCAAUUACAGCUCUCGGCAGCCAUAAUUAAUCCAGAGCUGAUGAAAACUGUGUUUUUCACUCAACAGAGGAGGGUAUUUCAGGUAAUUAGGCAUAACCUCAUGUAUUUGUAAUUUGCCUUUCACAUGAGCUCUGGCUGCCAUGUCCAGGCGCUACCUUCAAAAAAAACUUACAGCAACAUUAACCAACAAGAUGUGUCUGAUUUCAAAGGAUUACCCUUCACCCUCAAGUAU
rnacentral:lncRNA from 12 species